CAGUAGCCGCGGUAAUACGAAGUGGGCUAGCGUUGUUCGGAAUUACUGGGCGUAAAGCGCACGUAGGCGGACAUUUAAGUCAGUGGUGAAAUCCCGGGGCUCAACCCCGGAACUGCCUUUGAUACUGGGUGUCUAGAGUAUGGAAGAGGUGAGUGGAAUUCCGAGUGUAGAGGUGAAAUUCGUAGAUAUUCGGAGGAACACCAGUGGCGAAGGCGGCUCACUGGUCCAUUACUGACGCUGAGGUGCGAAAGCGUGGGGAGCAAACAGGAUUAGAUACCCCAGUAGUCCCUGUCUCUUAUAC
rnacentral:rRNA from 1 species